UCCCUGCUUUGAGGUAUACAGGGCUCUCAUAUCCAUUCUCCUUCUGUCAUUGAAGCAAGUGAUCUAGUAGACCAGAGGAGAAUGCUCCCUGGCAGAAAUGAAAUAGCUAAAAAGGAGCUGAGACCAAGAGGAAUGCUGGUCAGAAGAAAGAAUCAAACUAUUAAACUUGAAAGUGACAUAAAGGACAACGAAAAGACUCAAGGGUAUUUUCCUUCAGCAACCUGAAGUAAGGUUGGUCUCUUCCACCUGCCCUUUCAAAGCUGGAAGCCAAAAGUGCCAGAAGUAACUGGAAGUUCAAAGAAGACUGAAGAAAGGUGGAACUCUUACCCUCAUGUGAAGUCCACUCUAUGCUCCUCAUGCAGGUAUAAAACUUCCCUGCUCAGACUCCAUUCUGAACUUUUCUCCUGACAAGAACUUUGCCAGAGUACACAUCCCCCUCAUUCAAGUACCUUACCUGGAGGUUGAAGCCAACUGUUUUGGAGAGUCCUAAAUUACUCUGACCAGUUUAAUUCAGAAAGCGCAGAAUACCUUCCCCAUUCUUGGGGAAAUCUGUUCUGGAGAUCUUUGUGAAUAAAGAAUUCCACAAUGC